CACCAGGUUGAUUCUGCCUGACGUGGACGCUUGCCUCGAAGAUUAAGCCAUGCAAGUCUGUGAAUAUAUGAAACAGUGUACGGCUCAGUAUAACACCUAUAUCUACCCACUUUUUAAAUAUAACCAUGGUAAACUAUGGCUAAUAUAGUGGAUGAGUGGGUGACCUAUCAGCUUGACGGUACGGUAAGUGCGUACCGAGGCUAUAACGGGUAACGGGGAAUAUGGGUUUUAUUCCGGAGAGGGAGCCUGAGAGAUGGCUGCCACGUCCAAGGACGGCAGCAGGCGCGAAACUUACCCAAUGAACGUUGAGGUAGUUACGAGGCGUAGUAUUAUGAAGUGUGUGUAAAGAGCAUACUGAAGUACUGGAGGGCAAGUCUGGUGCCAGCAGCCGCGGUAAUACCAGCUCCAGUAGCGUCUGUUUUUAUUGCUGCGGUUAAAACGUGCGUAGUCGGCUAGUUGUGUGAAUAGUGAUUCGGGAUGGUACGCGGAGUAAUCUGUGGAUUGUGCUAUAAUUGCUAUUUGUGAAUAUGCAACAGCCUGGGUUAAAUAUGCACUUUCAUGGUGCUUUUAAUUUCAGGAACUUAUAGCUUGAGACAGGGACGGGGUAAUUUUAUUUGGUAGCGAGAGGUGACAAUCGAUGACCUACCAAGGAGGACCGGAGGCGAAAGCGAUUACCAAGAACUGAUCUGACGAUCAAGCACGUGAGCAGGAGUAUCGAAGAGGAUUAGAGACCCACGUAGUUCCUUGCAGUCAACGAUGCCAACGUAGUGGUGAUUUUGGUCAUUGCUAGAGCGAAAGCUAGUGUAUGGGCUCCGGGGAUAGUACGGACGCAAGUUUGAAACUUGAAGAAAUUGACGGAAGGACACCACAAGGAGUGGAGUGUGCGGGUUAAUUUGACUCAACGCGGGAAAACUUACCCGGGCAGGCGAUUGUUGUGAGAAGGAAUACCUGAUGAUGAUCGCGUGUGGUGCAUGGCCGUUCUUAACACGUGGAGUGAUCUGUCUGGUCAAAUCUGAUAACGCGUGAGAGGUGAGUGGUUUUUAACCAGACGAUGUGUGUAAGCACAAGGAAGAGACACCCAAUAACAGGUCUGUGAUGCCCGUAGAUGUUCGGGGCUCCACGCGCACUACAAUGAGUGGUGGUGCUAUAAGUAGUAGCCAGUCGUAGUUGGGAUUGACAUAUGUAAUUAUGUCAUGAACGUGGAAUUCCUAGUAGUUGGUAGUCACUAACGACUAACGAAUGAGUCCCUGUUCUUUGUACACACCGCCCGUCGUUAUCUAAGAUGGAGGUGCGGGUGAAGAUGUGAGUGUGUAGAGUUGGUGCGAUGCAUGGAAGUUAAUGACGAGUGCGAGUAGUUAGCUAUGAGUAUGAGUUGUUGAUGGAAGUGGUUGUAACUAAUGGCAUGAGCAUAAGAACCCGUGCAGCUAGAUUGGAUGUAAGUCGUAACANNNNNNNNNNNNNNNNNNNNNNNNNNNNNNNNNNN
rnacentral:rRNA from 10 species